rnacentral:tRNA from 1 species
CGCCACCCUAGCUCAGUCGGUAGAGCAAUUCACUCGUAAUGAAUAGGUCAGGGGUUCGAUUCCCCUGGUGGCUCC